rnacentral:rRNA from 1 species
AUUGAACGCUGGCGGCAUGCUUUACACAUGCAAGUCGAACGGGCUGGGGGCAACUCCAGUCAGUGGCGAACGGGUGAGUAAUACAUCGGAACGUACCUCGUAGUGGGGGAUAACUCGGCGAAAGCCGUGCUAAUACCGCAUAUGCUCUACGGAGGAAAGCAGGGGGACCCGAGGGUAACUGAGGGCCUUGUGCUAUGGAAGCGGCCGAUGUCCGAUUAGCUAGUUGGUGAGGUAAUGGCUCACCAAGGCGACGAUCGGUAGCUGGUCUGAGAGGAUGAUCAGCCACACUGGGACUGAGACACGGCCCAGACUCCUACGGGAGGCGAG